rnacentral:lncRNA from 1 species
UUUUUUUGUUUUUUUGUUUUUUUGUUUUUUUUUUUUUUGAUGCUGGGUCCAGGACUCAAACCACCUUUCUGCUUGGUCAGCUGGUUCUAAAUUAGGAUGUGUCAAUAUGGGCACCAGAGGGCGCCAGAGAGGCUACAGGAGGACAAGGGGACUUGCUCCCUCCUAUUUGUUUCCUGGGGGUUACCUGCCUGCUUGUGGUUCCCAGGAGUCAGCCCUGCAGGGGUUUCAGCCUGCAGCACCAGUGCCUUCCGCACAGCAGCAGCCAAAAUCAGGUUUCAGUUUUCACCAUAACUGCAAACUCCUGUCACCCACAGAGACAUCAGAAUCAACUGGCCCUCUCUUCCUUCAAGGUCUGGGUCCCAGUGAUAGAAUCAGUUUUCUCAGUCCCCAUCUCGCCAUAGCAAAGCAUUGGAAGAGCAGACAUUUUACGAAUUUAUUAAAGCAAAAGUACAUUUUCAGGGAGAGAAAGAGAAUUCAUGUGUGCACAGGUUAUACAUAUCCCAACAAGCAGAUCUGAUAGAGACUCAAUUUAUCCUGCCCUGGCCCCCUAAGCUGUGUUCUGUGGGCUGAGAGUUGUUUUAUCUCUGUAUGGGGCACAUAUGAUCUGAUUGGUUUCGGGUAAGAUAACUUAUUUGCAUGGGGAACAGGUUAUAUAGAGGCAGGGUGAGGAAUGAGUGACAUUCCUUCCCUACCAGGCUGUUCAAGGUGGGGGAAGGGACAUUACAAUGAGACAAGGUCAGAGGCUUUGGGUUUACUCUCCUUCAAGGGGACUUGAAGCCUAUUAACACCAGGUCCACAAGGCUCCCUAUUUCAAACUCCAAACCAGCCAACAGUCCUCCAGUUGCUCCAGGGAAGCACUCCCCUAAGUUUCCUCAGCUAAGGGCUGCCUACAGUUGCUGCCUUUUUGACACCUGAAAGUUCUCCUUUUACCUUCAGCAUUAAUAACAUCAUACCUAGUAAAUAUGUCUUUCUAUUAAAUUCUUUCAGUUCAAGUAACUGGUGUGGUUUCUGUUUUUGAAUGUGACUUUAUCGUAGUCAGUUUGGACUGCUAUUACAAGUUACCAUAGACUGGGUGGCUGAAACAACAAACAUUCAUUUCUCACAGUUCUGGAGGCUGGAAGUCCAAGAUGAAGGUGCUGGCAGGGUCAGGUUCCAGUGAGAACCUGGGUUGUGGAAAAAGUUACAACUGCUACCACUGCAUCCUUGCAUGGCAGAAAAGUCCUCGCCAGCUCUCUGGUCUCUUCUCAUAAGGGCACUGAUCUCAUUCACAAGGGCUCCAUCCUCAUGAUCUAAUCAUAGCAACAAGGCCCCAUUUUCAAAUACCAUCACAUUCGGGGAUCAGGACUUCAACAUACAAAAUUGCUGGGAGGGAGACAAAAACAUUUGGUCCACUACAGAGCCUAACUGAUACAGAAAAUAAUUUGGCAAUCUCCAGCAAAAUGACAUGGAUUUACCCUUUGAUCCAUCAAUACCUCUGCUAGUACUCUAUGCAAAAAGAUAUAUGGUCUUUCUUUGAAGUGUUAUUUAUCUUUCUGGGGUUUGGGUGGUUGUUUGUGUGUUUUUGCUUCUUAGGGCCGCACCUGCGGCACAUGGAAGUUCCAAGGCUAGGGGUCAAAUCGGAUUUGCAGCUGCUGGCCUACACCAUAGCCACAGCAACAGAGGAUCCAAGCCACAUCUGCAACCUACACCAUAGCUCAUGGCAAUGCCAGAUCCUUAAUCCAGUGAGUGAGGCCAGGGAUCGAACCCACAACCUCAUGGAUACUAGUCGGAUUCUUUUCCAUUGCGUCAUGACGGGAACUCUCAAGGUGUUAUUUAUAAUAGCAAAGAUUGGCAACAAAAAUGUCUACCAAUGACAUACACAGCUAAUAGGAUAUUAUAAAAUCAAAAAAA